GGAGAGAUGCCAGAGUGGUUGAAUGGGCCUGUCUCGAAAACAGGUAGGUGCUUAUAGUGCCUCGCAGGUUCAAAUCCUGCUCUCUCCG
rnacentral:tRNA from 1 species